AGUGAACGCUGGCGGUAGGCCUAACACAUGCAAGUCGAACGGCAGCACUGUAAGAGCUUGCUCUUACGGGUGGCGAGUGGCGGACGGGUGAGGAAUACAUCGGAAUCUACUUUUUCGUGGGGGGUAACGUAGGGAAACUUACGCUAAUACCGCAUACGACCUACGGGUGAAAGCAGGGGAUCUUCGGACCUUGCGCGAUUGAAUGAGCCGAUGUCGGAUUAGCUAGUUGGCGGGGUAAAGGCCCACCAAGGCGACGAUCCGUAGCUGGUCUGAGAGGAUGAUCAGCAACACUGGAACUGAGACACGGUCCAGACUCCUACGGGAGGCAGCAGUGGGGAAUAUUGGACAAUGGGCGCAAGCCUGAUCCAGCCAUACCGCGUGGGUGAAGAAGGCCUUCGGGUUGUAAAGCCCUUUUGUUGGGAAAGAAAAGCAGCAGGUUAAUACCCCGCUGUUCUGACGGUACCCAAAGAAUAAGCACCGGCUAACUUCGUG
rnacentral:rRNA from 1 species